rnacentral:rRNA from 1 species
AUGGUUGUCGUCAGCUCGUGUCGUGAGAUGUUGGGUUAAGUCCCGCAACGAGCGCAACCCCUACGUUUAGUUGCUAACGCGUGAAGGCGAGCACUCUAGACGAACUGCCGUUGACAAAACGGAGGAAGGUGGGAUGACGUCAAAUCAUCAUGCCCCUUAUGUUCUGGGCUACACACGUGCUACAAUGGCCGGUACAGACGGACGCAAAGCCGCGAGGUGGAGCAAAUCCGAAAAAGCCGGUCUCAGUUCGGAUUGCAGGCUGCAAUUCGCCUGCAUGAAGUCGGAAUCGCUAGUAAUCGCAGGUCAGCAUACUGCGGUGAAUACGUUCCCGGGCCUU